rnacentral:rRNA from 1 species
CGUGCGGUCCUAUUUUGUUGGUUUCUAGGAUCGCCGUAAUGAUUAAUAGGGAUAGUUGGGGGCAUUCGUAUUCAAUUGUCAGAGGUGAAAUUCUUGGAUUUAUUGAAGACGAACUACUGCGAAAGCAUUUGCCAAGGAUGUUUUCAUUGAUCAAGAACGAAGGUUAGGGGAUCGAAAACGAUCAGAUACCGUUGUAGUCUUAACAGUAAACUAUGCCGACUAGGGAUCGGACGAGGUUUUUAAUGACUCGUUCGGCACCUGAAGAGAAAUCUUUAAGUCAGGUUCGGGGGGGAGUAUGGUCGCAAGGCUGAAACUUAAAGGAAUUGACGGAAGGGCACCACCAGGUGUGGAGCCUGCGGCUUAAUUUGACUCAACACGGGGAAACUCACC